AUUGAACGCUGGCGGCAGGCUUAACACAUGCAAGUCGAACGAGUGGCGGACGGGUGAGUAAUGCUUGGGAACUAGCUUAUGGAGGGGGAUAACUACUGGAAACGGUAGCUAAUACCGCAUACUAUCGGAUAACCCAUAUGGGAUUAGCUAGUUGGUGAGGUAAUGGCUCACCAAGGCGACGAUCCCUAGCUGGUCUGAGAGGAUGAUCAGCCACACUGGGACUGAGACACGGCCCAGACUCCUACGGAGGCAGCAGUGGGGAAUAUUGCACAAUGGGCGCAAGCCUGAUGCAGCCAUGCCGCGUGUAUGAAGAAGGCCCUAGGGUUGUAAAGUACUUUCAGUCGGGAGGCGUUACCGACAGAAGAAGCACCGGCUAACUCCGUGCCAGCAGCCGCGGUAAUUC
rnacentral:rRNA from 1 species